rnacentral:rRNA from 1 species
UACGAAGGGGGCUAGCGUUGCUCGGAAUCACUGGGCGUAAAGCGCACGUAGGCGGCUUGUUAAGUCAGGGGUGAAAUCCUGGAGCUCAACUCCAGAACUGCCUUUGAUACUGGAGAGCUAGAGUCCGGAAGAGGUGAGUGGAACUGCGAGUGUAGAGGUGAAAUUCGUAGAUAUUCGCAAGAACACCAGUGGCGAAGGCGGCUCACUGGUCCGGUACUGACGCUGAGGUGCGAAAGCGUGGGGAGCAAACAGG